rnacentral:rRNA from 1 species
UGGGGAAUAUUGGGGCAAUGGGUGAAAGCCUGACCCAGCAACGCCGCGUGAAGGAAGAAGGCCUUCGGGUUGUAAACUUCUUUAUCAGGGACGAAGGAAGUGACGGUACCUGAUGAAUAAGCCACGGCUAACUACGUGCCAGCAGCCGCGGUAAUACGUAGGUGGCAAGCGUUAUCCGGAUUUACUGGGUGUAAAGGGCGCGUAGGCGGGGAUGCAAGUCAGAUGUGAAAUCUAUGGGCUCAACCCAUAAACUGCAUUUGAAACUGUAUCUCUUGAGUGUCGGAGAGGUAGAUGGAAUUCCUAGUGUAGCGGUGAAAUGCGUAGAUAUUAGGAGGAACACCAGUGGCGAAGGCGAUCUA